CAAAGUUCCUCCAUGGGACAGCUUGUGUCAGUGCUUUAUUCCAUUUCAUGACCAAAUAAUAAUACAUUCUGUCGUACACAGACACCAUAUUUUGUUCAUUCAUCAGUUGAUGGGCUGUUGGGUUGCUUCCACCUUUUUGCUCUGGUGAAUAUUGCUGCUAUGUACAGGCCUGUGCAAGUAUUUGAGUAACCUGUUUUCAACUCUUUUGGGCAUGUGACUAAAAGUGGGAUUGCUGGGUCAUAUGAUAAUUCUAUGUUUAAUUUUUUGAGGAACUGCCAAACCAAAAGGUCCUUUUCAAAAGUGAAGAAAAUCUUCUGAAAAGCAUCCCCGGAAGACUUCCUCGACACCUUACUGGCCAGAAUGAUGUCACUUCUCCAUGCCUACAGCGUGGUCUUGGCAAGGAGAGUGAUAUUACCAAGACUGGCUUAAACUGAUCAAGACUCAGUUUCUGUACUGGAUUGGCACCCAGUCACCUCUGAAUGACACUGUCGCUUGGAGGAGGGUCAUUUCUAGAAGGUGGUGACACAGCUAGUCUUUCUCAGCAUUGCCAGAAGAGAAAUCUGUGGCGCAAAUACGGUGUCAUGUGACCAUUUGGCUUCAGUUGACUGGACCAGCUACUGUCAUCCAUGCCUGGAAAGUCAUCCACAGGCUGGCCAGAAGCCCAUGAAGUGACCUGGUACAAAAGCUUUGCUCAAAAGGACAUGCUCUAGCUGAAUGUAGUUUCCUAUAGCUACUGAAACAGAUCACCACACACUUAGUGGCUUAAAACCGCAGAGCUGGCCAGGCUCGGGGGCUCACACCUGUAAUCCCAGUACUCUCGGAGGCCGAGGUGGGCAGAUCACCUGAGGGCAGGAGUUUGAGACCAGCCUGGCCAACGUGGUGAAACCCCGUCUCUACUAAAAAUAUGAAAAAUUAGCCGCGUGUGGUGGUGAGCGCCUGUAAUCCCAGAUAUUCGGGAGGCUGAGGCAGGAGAAUCACUUGAACCCGAGAGGCAGAAAUUGCAGUGAGCUGAGAUUGAGCCACUGCACUCCAGCCUGGGCGACAGAGCGAAACUCCAUCUCAAAACAAACAAAAAACCACAGAAUUUUAUAAGUCCAAACACAAGGGGUCAGUUGGGCCACGCUCCCUCUAGAGGUUCUAGGAGAGAAUCAUUUCUUGCCUCUUCCAGCUCCUGGUGGCUCCAGGUUUUUGGAUGGUAGCUGCAUCACUCCCAUCUCUGCCUUUAUCCUCACAUCACCUUCUCUGUGUGUCUCCUCUGUGUGUUUUAUUUCUUUUCUUUUUUGAGACAGAGUCUCGCUCCGUUGCCCAGGCUGGAGUGCGGUGGCGGGAUCUCAGCUCACUGCAACCUCCACCUCCCGGGUUCAAGCGAUUCUCUUGCCUCAGCCUCCUGAGUAACUGGGAUUACAGGCGCCCACCACCACACCCAGCUAACUUUUGUAUUUUUAGUAGAGAUGGGGUAUCAUCAUGUUGGCUGAGCUCGUCUUGAACUCCUGACCUCAGGUGAUCCUCCUGCCUUGGCUUCUCAAAAUGCUGGGAUUACAGGCAUGAGCCACCAUGCCUGGAGACCUCUGUGUAUCUUAUAAAGACACUUGUCAUUGGAUUUGGGGCCCAUCCAGAUAAUCCAGGAUGACCUCAUCUUGAGAUCUGAAAUGUAAUCAUGGGCAAAGACCCUUUUUUCCCAGUGAAAUCACAUUCACAAGUAAGCUUCCUGGGGUUAGGAUAUGGACAUGUCUUUUGGGGGAGCCACCCUUCAACUCCCUACAGUUGGCUAGUGACUACUGGACUCCUAUCCCCCACCCACAGGGAACGGGCAUUGCUGGACGGUGGCAACAAUCCAGUGGGGUCUUCUCUUCAUGGAAGUCUGAACUUGAAACAUAUAAGAAAUUGACACUGCCACUGGAGUUGUGCAGAGGCCAGAAAGAGGACAGGUGGUAGAUACUGUGGGUAAGGAAAAGCCAGGAGGUGAGCAGGAAACCAAGUCAGAAGUCAGAGGCACAGUCAACGAAGCAGUGCCACGAGGAUGGUGCCAAUGCCUGUGGUUGCCCAGCAACCACAUUUCAUCAAUCUGAAGAUGCACCUUUCCCCGCCCCCCGCCCCGCAUUUUGGCAUUUUGGAAUGUGUCUAACAACAGACGAUGUCUUAUUUGCUGCUUUUGGUCGGGCGGCAGCCCUGAGGUUGCUGGGACUGCCCGCAGACAGGGUCUCGAACUCCUGGGUUCAGCGAUCUUCCUGCCUCGGUUUCCUGAGUAGCUGAGAUUGCAGGUGCCUUUUUACUUACAAAAAUUUUUUUAAUUGAGAGAUAGAAAUUGUAUAUAUUUAUGGUGUACAGCAUGGUGUUUUGAAAUAUGUAUACAUUAUGGAAUGGCUAAAAUGAGCUAAUUAACAUAUGCAUUAUCUCUCAUGACUUUUUUUGUAGCGAGAACACCUAAAAUCUACUCUUAACAAUUUUCAAGGACACAAUCCAUUGUUGUUGACACUAUUUAUUCAUUUAUUAUAGAAAUGGGGUCUUACUAUGUUGCCCAGUCUGAUCUUGAACUCCUGGCCUCAAACGAUUCUCCUGCCUUGGCUUUCCAAAGCCUCUGUGCCCAGCCAUUGUUGACUAUAGUCACCAUGUUGUACAAUGGAUCUCUUGAAUUUAUUUCUCCUGUCUAACAGAACAUUUGUACCCUUUGAUCAACCUCUCCCCAACCCAGCCACCCACCUCCAGCUCCCGGUAACCACCAUUCCACCCUCUG
rnacentral:lncRNA from 10 species